rnacentral:tRNA from 1 species
GGUGAGCUGGCCGAGUGGCUGAAGGCGCGCCCCUGCUAAGGGCGUAUAUCGUAAGGUAUCCAGGGUUCGAAUCCCUGGCUCACCGCCA